rnacentral:rRNA from 1 species
UACGUAGGGGGCUAGCGUUGUCCGGAAUCAUUGGGCGUAAAGAGCGUGUAGGCGGCCCGGUAAGUCCGCUGUGAAAGUCGGGGGCUCAACCCUCGAAUGCCGGUGGAUACUGUCGGGCUAGAGUGCGGAAGAGGCGAGUGGAAUUCCUGGUGUAGCGGUGAAAUGCGCAGAUAUCAGGAAGAAUAUCCGUGGCGAAGGCGGCUCUCUGGUACGGCACUGACGCUGAGACGCGAAAGCGUGGGGAGCGAACAGG